UCCAACCAGUAUUGUAACGAUUUCAGAGGGUUUUACCAUGCAUGGCAUCUUUGUAUUUGACAGUAAUGGGAAAAAGCUGAGGAACUGUGACGCCAGCAACUCUCUCGAUCUGUUGUUCGAGAUAGAAUGCUAACCAACUGGCCCUCGUAUUCAUGCCCAAGCAAUUACAGCGAAUUUUGGUCUCUCGAGUGGACCAAGUAUGGCACCUGCACACUCUCUGUCUUCGAUAGUCAAUAUGAUUUCUUUAAAGCAGGCCUCGACCUCAAGGAUAGAAUGGAUAUCCUGAAAAUCCUCAAAAGAAGGAGGAAUCGAACCCACCGGGUUGUUCUACAGCACGGAGAGAUUCACACG